AGCCCUGGAACACCUUUAGGGGUUCGUCU
rnacentral:tRNA from 1 species